GGCUAAACCGCAUGCGUGUGAUACCCGGCAGGGGUUGCGUGUGUGGUGUUGUGGGGCAUGAUGUCCUGGUUCUGCCGGAUCAGGCGCUUGAUAGUCCGCGGGUUAGGGGAACGACUUGGAAGGGUCGGCCGUAGAGGGUGAGAGUCCCGUACCUGAAAACUUUGUGGCUGGGCGAUUUGUGUUCCCAAGUAGCAGCGGGCCCGUGAAAUCUGCUGUGAAUCUGCCGGG
rnacentral:rRNA from 1 species